rnacentral:piRNA from 1 species
UAUCUACUCACUGCCUGAGGCUCUUCAUC